rnacentral:rRNA from 1 species
ACAUGUAGCUAUGCCUCUUUGAAAGUGUCUGACCUCACAUGAUUUCCGAAGCUAAGCAAGGUCAGGCUUAGAUAACAUGGGGAGAGGAGACUGCCUGGGAAUAUUUGAUACUGCAUCUG